GACGAACGCUGGCGGCGUGCUUAACACAUGCAAGUCGAGCGAACCUUCGGGUUAGCGGCGAACGGGUGAGUAACACGUGGGCAACCUGCCCCGAGCUCUGGGAUAACCCCGGGAAACCGGGCUAAUACCGGAUAUGACAUCGGAGGACAUCCUCCGAUGUGGAAAGUUUUUCGGCUCGGGAUGGGGCCCGCGGCCUAUCAGCUUGUGGUGAGGUAACGGCCCACCAAGGCGAUGACGGGGUA
rnacentral:rRNA from 1 species